UACGGAGGUGGCAAGCGUUGUUCGGAAUUACUGGGCGUAAAGGGCGCGUAGGCGGCUAGGCAAGUCAGAUGUGAAAGCCCCGGGCUUAACUCGGGAAUUGCAUCUGAAACUGCUGGGCUUGAGUUCUGGAGGGGGUAGUGGAAUUCCCAGUGUAGCGGUGAAAUGCGUAGAUAUUGGGAGGAACACCUGCGGUGAAGGCGGCUACCUGGACAGAAACUGACGCUGAGGCGCGAAAGCUAGGGGAGCGAACGGG
rnacentral:rRNA from 1 species